CAAAAGGCUUUGAAAAGAAAAAGUAGCAAUCUUUACACCCAUACAGAAAGCAGCCGGCAGAUGAGAGGCGCAUGAAGGAAUGGAUUGUGAAUACCUCUUGGAGCUGCACACCGAACGGGUCCUGAUCGGAUGCAAGUAGGCUGUGACGGACCGGCAGACGUUAACAUGCCACGGCAAUCAAUGUUUUUUAGAAACGGCAGUUGCUGAUGAGGCGGCAGAUGUGAGUCUGCUGUGAAUCAAGGUGGUACCACGGGAAUGAUAUCUCGUCCUUACG
rnacentral:ncRNA from 1 species